rnacentral:rRNA from 1 species
GGGUUGUGAGGUUAAGCGACUAAGCGUACACGGUGGAUGCCCUGGCAGUCAGAGGCGAUGAAGGACGUGCUAAUCUGCGAUAAGCGUCGGUAAGGUGAUAUGAACCGUUAUAACCGGCGAUUUCCGAAUGGGGAAACCCAGUGUGAUUCGUCACACUAUCAUUAACUGAAUCCAUAGGUUAAUGAGGCGAACCGGGGGAACUGAAACAUCUAAGUACCCCGAGGAAAAGAAAUCAACCGAGAUUCCCCCAGUAGCGGCGAGCGAACGGGGAGCAGCCCAGAGCCUGAAUCAGUGUGUGUGUUAGUGGAAGCGUCUGGAAAGGCGUGCGAUACAGGGUGACAGCCCCGUACACAAAAAUGCACAUACUGUGAGCUCGAUGAGUAGGGCGGGACACGUGGUAUCCUGUCUGAAUAUGGGGGGACCAUCCUCCAAGGCUAAAUACUCCUGACUGACCGAUAGUGAACCAGUACCGUGAGGGAAAGGCGAAAAGAACCCCGGCGAGGGGAGUGAAAAAGAACCUGAAACCGUGUACGUACAAGCAGUGGGAGCACGCUUAGGCGUGUGACUGCGUACCUUUUGUAUAAUGGGUCAGCGACUUAUAUUCUGUAGCAAGGUUAACCGAAUAGGGGAGCCGAAGG